rnacentral:rRNA from 1 species
GACGAACGCUGGCGGCGUGCCUAAUACAUGCAAGUUGAGCGCUGAAGGUUGGUACUUGUCCCAACUGGGUGAGCAGCGAACGGGUGAGUAACGCGUGGGGAAUCUGCCUUUGAGCGGGGGACAACAUUUGGAAACGAAUGCUAAUACCGCAUAAAAACUUUAAACACAAGUUUUAAGUUUGAAAGAUGCAAUUGCAUCACUCAAAGAUGAUCCCGCGUUGUAUUAGCUAGUUGGUGAGGUAAAGGCUCACCAAGGCGAUGAUACAUAGCCGACCUGAGAGGGGGAUCGGCCACAUUGGGACUGAGACACGGCCCAAACUCCUACGGGAGGCAGCAGUAGGGAAUCUUCGGCAAUGGACGAAAGUCUGACCGAGCAACGCCGCGUGAGUGAAGAAGGUUUUCGGAUCGUAAAACUCUGUUGGUAGAGAAGAACGUUGGUGAGAGUGGAAAGCUCAUCAAGUGACGGUAACUACCCAGAAAGGGACGGCUAACUACGUG